rnacentral:rRNA from 1 species
UAGGGAAUCUUCCGCAAUGGGCGAAAGCUUGACGGAGCAACGCCGCGUGAGUGAUGAAGGUCUUCGGAUCGUAAAACUCUGUUAUUAGGGAAGAACAAAUGUGUAAGUAACUAUGCACGUCUUGACGGUACCUAAUCAGAAAGCCACGGCUAACUACGUGCCAGCAGCCGCGGUAAUACGUAGGUGGCAAGCGUUAUCCGGAAUUAUUGGGCGUAAAGCGCGCGUAGGCGGUUUUUUAAGUCUGAUGUGAAAGCCCACGGCUCAACCGUGGAGGGUCAUUGGAAACUGGAAAACUUGAGUGCAGAAGAGGAAAGUGGAAUUCCAUGUGUAGCGGUGAAAUGCGCAGAGAUAUGGAGGAACACCAGUGGCGAAGGCGACUUUCUGGUCUGUAACUGACGCUGAGGCUCGAAAGCGUGGGUAGCAAACAGG